rnacentral:rRNA from 1 species
AUACAUGCAGUCGAGCGAAUGGAUUGAGAGCUUGCUCUCAAGAAGUUAGCGGCGGACGGGUGAGUAACACGUGGGUAACCUGCCCAUAAGACUGGGAUAACUCCGGGAAACCGGGGCUAAUACCGGAUAACAUUUUGAACUGCAUGGUUCGAAAUUGAAAGGCGGCUUCGGCUGUCACUUAUGGAUGGACCCGCGUCGCAUUAGCUAGUUGGUGAGGUAACGGCUCACCAAGGCAACGAUGCGUAGCCGACCUGAGAGGGUGAUCGGCCACACUGGGACUGAGACACGGCCCAGACUCCUACGGGAGGCAGCAGUAGGGAAUCUUCCGCAAUGGACGAAAGUCUGACGGAGCAACGCCGCGUGAGUGAUGAAGGCUUUCGGGUCGUAAAACUCUGUUGUUAGGGAAGAACAAGUGCUAGUUGAAUAAGCUGGCACCUUGACGGUACCUAACCAGAAAGCCACGGCUAACUACGUGCCAGCAGCCGCGGUAAUACGUAGGUGGCAAGCGUUAUCCGGAAUUAUUGGGCGUAAAGCGCGCGCAGGUGGUUUCUUAAGUCUGAUGUGAAAGCCCACGGCUCAACCGUGGAGGGUCAUUGGAAA